rnacentral:rRNA from 1 species
GAUGACGUAGCAGUUCACUCAAGAAAUUCUUUUAUCUCUAAAAUUAUGGUGGCUAAAGUUGAACUGAAACUCUGGGGGCGAAAUAACAAGGUGGGGUCCGUUCCCUCCUUCAGAGAAGGUGGGAGCCGCCGCCCUUCGUUAUGCUUGUCCGGUAGCAGAACGUACUGUUAAUUGUUCAGUGAGAGCCCCACACGGCAUCAGAAGUGAUAAUGUGGACAUGAGUAAAAAAUCAUAGGAUCACUCCCCCCCUGGUUUCCCAUAUUAGGUAUGGGGUUAAACAGCCCCUAAAAUUGCAGCCCCAAAGGUUGCGUUAAUGGGGGGCCAUGAGUAAUAGACGCACAAAGUGCCAGGAAAGAAUUAUUCGGCGCCGCACUGUACUAAACUAACUAAAGUGGGGGAUAGUGAGGGGAUAAAUUUCUUUAAGGAACUCGGCAAAAUCCCAAUGGCCCACCAGGGCAUAUAUUGGAACACGGGCCUCGACUGUUUACCAAAAACAUAGCCCUCGGCCAAUAUGAAAAUAGAAGUAUGGAGGGUGAGGCCUGCCCAAUGGUUGUAUCUAAAAGCGGUGGAUAAAAGUCGACCGCGUAAGGACAAUUGAAUGGCCGCGGUACUACUGACCGUGAUAAUGUAGCGUAAUCAAUAGCCAAUUAAUUGUUGGCCAGUAUGAAUGGCGCCACGAAGGCCCCACUGUCUUAAGGAAAUUCCCAGUGAAAUUGAAUUCGUAGUGAAGAUGCUACGUCCAAUUUGUUAGACGAAAAGACCCCGUUGAGCUUUACUGGGGCACUUACACGGCCGAAUUGAAAUGGGCGGCUUAGACUAUGUGGCAGCCCCCCGUCGGGGCAGAUGAAACCCCACUCCCCCAUGUCAAAGGGGCUAACCCCCCCUCGGGGGGGGACAGUGUAAGUAGGACAGUUUGGUUGGGGCGACCGCCUUUUAGAGAGUAACGAAGGUGCGCUUAAGGUGCGCAAUUAAUGACUGAAGCCUGACUGCGAGGGGGACACCCCGAGCAGACACCCCCCAGCCCGCGAGGGCGGGGGUGGGCCAUAGUGACCCGUUAAUUUAGAGUGGAAUAGUUAACGAUCAACGAAUAAAAGUUACCACGGGGAUAACAGCGUAAUAUCGUUAGAGAGUUCACAUCGACGACGAUGUUUGCGACCUCGAUGUUGAAUUGCGGCAUCCUG